rnacentral:misc_RNA from 1 species
GAUGAAGAACGUAGCGAAAUGCGAUACUUGGUGUGAAUUGCAGAAUCCCGUGAACCAUCGAGUCUUUGAACGCAAGUUGCGCCCGAAGCCAUUAGGCCGAGGGCACGCCUGCCUGGGCGUCACACGUCGUUGCCCCCCCAUCUACUCCUUCGGGAUUGCGGGGGGCGGAUGAUGGCCUCCCGUGCGCCUCGUCGCGCGGUUGGCAUAAAUGCCAAGUCCUCGGCGACGCACGCCACGACAUUCGGUGGUUGCGAAACCUCGGAUGCCCGUCGUGUGCGGUCGUCGCGCAUCGAGGGCUCGAAAAAAUUGCCGGGCUCCGGCUCGGCUUUCAACGCGACCCCAGGUCAGGCGGGGUUACCCGCUGAAUUUAAGCAUAUCAAUAAGCGGAGGA